ACAAGGGACAAAAGGGCUGCAGCAGCGGCUGUCAGAGAGGUGGAUGAAGAGGAGAAGGAGAAAGAGAAGACAGAAGAAGAAGAAGGAGAGUUGUUGGAUAAGGAAUUGCUAUGCCCAAUAUGUAUGCAGAUAAUUAAGGAUGCAUUUUGACUUCAUGUGGGCACAGUUUUUGCUAUAUGUGUAUAGUAACUCAUUUGCAGAACAAGAGUGAUUGCCCCUGUUGCUCUCAUUUUCUGACACCCUCUCAACUUUACCCCAAUUUCCUCCUCGAUAAGCUAUUGAAGAAGAGAUCUGCCGUAAAAAUU